rnacentral:lncRNA from 1 species
CUGAUUGUGAGAUGUAGGAGGCGAAGGGCGGAUCUAAUGCAGGUAAAAACAAAGAUGGCAGACAAUGCAAGUUCACUCACAGCCUGUGGGGAAGAGGACACGUGUUUGACCGAGGAACACGGGAAUGGACUCAGGAAAUCGUGAACUGCGUCAUGUGUGUUCGAACUCCAUCUGUUCAGAUCCAGAGGUGUUACAAGGAUCGAGCAGUGGCUUCACUACUGAAAAAUAUGAGACGCUCAGUCCUCCCUCCCUCUCACAGCCGACCUCCUGCACUCCUCGCGCCGAGCAUUUGAUUGUGCGAUGCAUGGGGACACCACAGCUUUUCCAUAGUGAUUCCAGCCGCUGCCAGCGCGAGUCAGGGCCGGGCUCCGUGUGCACCCAAACACCCAAUCCUUCUUCAAGACGUACCUGAAAGGGGUUAAAAAUACAUCAACCAGGCUGCUCAGUCAGGUUCACUCAGCAGGAACACGGGGAGAUGUAUUUAUAGCGUUCCCCCGAGGAGCUCAGCACCUGAGGCCACAUGAAGGGAUUUUAAUGUCACAAAUGAAUAUGCAAAUAUCAGCCAAUGUCAUAACAGCAGCCAGAACCGGACGGAUAAGCCUGCAUCAGCGACGCCGGGAGAACCCCAGCUCCACCAGCGAGCAGGAAGAGAUGAGGGCCGUCAGCCAGAAACGCAGAUUUCUUGUGAAGUGGUAACAUCAGCAGGUCUGAGCUGUGUCCUGAGAACACACCCGGUGACUCUUCCUGACAAUAACGAAGCACAGAGUGACUAACACUCGUGCGUUUGAUUGCUUAAUUGCCGGAUUUAAUAUGAGCAUGGAGCUGCGUUCAGUGUAAAUACAGUUGUGAUGAGUCACCUGGGGUUUUUUUUUCAAACAGGAGUGUCGCGUGUUAACGUCAGACUCUAACUUCCACCUGCCUGAAGUCUGUGGCAAUAACAGGGUCACGCGCCUAGAGCCAAUGUGGGAAUCACCAUCAACACCUGAACCUUAACCAAAUUCCUGGGACAGGGUUGGGAUUCGUCAGGAUACGAAAAGGCUGAGGAAUCGUCAGGGUUCAGCAAUUAAACACACGGUUGAUGUUUAGAAUGAGGAAGCGAUUCCAGGUCAGGGACACUGUGAACUCU